rnacentral:tRNA from 1 species
UGGGCCAUAAGUUAAACAAAACUAUCAAACUUCAAAUUUGAAACUACCACAAGGGUUGGUCU